rnacentral:rRNA from 1 species
UACGUAGGGUGCGAGCGUUAAUCGGAAUUACUGGGCGUAAAGCGUGCGCAGGCGGUUCGUUAAGACAGAUGUGAAAUCCCCGGGCUUAACCUGGGAACUGCAUUUGUGACUGGCGAGCUAGAGUAUGGCAGAGGGGGGUAGAAUUCCACGUGUAGCAGUGAAAUGCGUAGAGAUGUGGAGGAAUACCGAUGGCGAAGGCAAUCCCCUGGACCUGUACUGACGCUCAUGCACGAAAGCGUGGGGAGCAAACAGG